UAGAUAAGUUAUUUUUUUCAUCUUUUGCUAAUGAUGUACACGUCUCUCUCCACCAACUCUUACUUUUUCCAACUCCACCACCCUUUGCUCCACCAACUAUCAGCCACCACUCCACCAUCAUUUGCUUUCCACCCAACAAAUGCAAUGCUUGGCUUCAAUGCUUUCUUCUUCUUUGAUUAAGUUCACCUGAAAUAAAACAAGAACCAUCGUUCAUUACAGUUAAUCUCCUAUUAAAACCAAUCUACUAUAGCAAACAGUACAGCAACUAAGCCAAAUAACUUCAAGGUGAGUUUUAUAUCUUUUAACUCUACCAUUUCUGCCAGAGUUUUCUUCAUUCGUGUAAGCAAAGGCACCUUCAAUUUAUUUCAGUUUCUAUCCACUGAUUCAAUCACACAGCAGCCACCCAAGCACAAGGAUCCACAGGUCAAGCGCGAGAGUAAGAACUACACAAGGAGUUAGAGUACCUUAGCAAAACUUUGCUAUCAGGUUGAGCUGUGAUGGGCGAUGAAGUGUUGUUGCUGAGUGGAGUUUUUGUCGAACUUAAAGUAGGCUCAGAAAGGAUACAUGUCUUCAUACAUGUAUCUCAGUUAUGCAUUCCGCUGUAAACACUGAUUAUUUCAGUUACACCUUCCGUUGCAAACUCUGAUAAUGUUUUUAGCCAAGCCCCUAACGAUGCCUUUUUCCUUUUAAGGAAUAUAACGCUUAUACAAAUUCGUUGAGUACCCUUUUUAUGCGAACUA